GCUGAACCCACACAGCUACAAUGAGGAUC
rnacentral:piRNA from 1 species